rnacentral:lncRNA from 1 species
ACUUGUUUGUAUACAACCACGCCCGGCAGGAUGACCACCAGAUGACCGGCCGCAGCAAUGCCUCCACUCAGUCCCAGUUGGGCAAAGUUUCACUCCACUGCGGCGACGUGAACAAGAAUCACGGCUUCCUUAUCGUACCUGCCACAACACAUGGGAAUUAUGGGAGUACAAUUUAAGAUGAGAUAUGGAUGAGAACACAGAGCCAAACCAUAUCAACUCUAUCUUCAUGUUUGUUUACAUUUCUCUCAACUGUAUGUUUUGUGACCCAGAAUGUGAUCCUGGUAAACAUUCCAUUUGAGAAGAAUGUGUAUUCUGCUGUUGUUGGAAGCUGCGUUGUCAUUGAUGAAGGAAUAUUUCGAAGCGCUGAACAAUUCUUGAUAAAGUUCCGAAACAAACAAAGCACAAUCUUCCCUCGAUUUACAUGGGAGUUGCAUUCCUGGAAAAUUCAGUAUAUUUUAAAACCAUGCAAAAUAUCCUUUUAAAAAAAUAUGUAACAUGGAGUUUAGGACCAAGGCUCAGAAUAUUUCCAAUCCAUGGUUGGGUGCGGAACCUGCGGAUACAGAGGACUGACUAUAAUAUCAAGAGAUCAUAAGGCUGUCGGAAUGGACUCUUUGUGGCAAUAAGAUACCAUAUUAUAAACAGGACCCAAGGUCAUGCCAGGAGGCUCGUGUGGUCCCUGUUUGUCAUCCAGUCAAUACGGCCAUCAGCUUCUGGCCCCAGACACCUUUCCUCUGCACUGUGGCACAGAGGAGCAGACUGCUUUGGAGGGCAGCUUCCUGGGAGCUCCAGGGACCCUGGCCAGGCGGCCACUGCCACUGACUUCCUCGGCUCACUGAGCCCGUGCCUGCAGCUCUCGUGUUUCCUCUGUGCUGCAGUGGACGCUUAUCUUCCCCCGAUGGCACAUUUCUUUGUCACAGACAGGACCCUCACUGGCAGUCGGAGGACAUCAAGCCCUAGUACAGGAAGGGACAUUUUCACACUAAUCUGUGCCAGCUGGAGCAGUCCUGCCAUCUGAACAUCAUAUUUUGGAACCCUGAGAAGCUAGGAUGCAGUUAACAGGUAAGUAGUAAUGGGAGAACUUUCUAGAAACCAUGUCUGGAGGAGGGGUUCAGGAGCUGAGAUGCUGAGCCUGGGGUAGGGAAGACUUGAGUGGGGCAGGCCCUACAAAAAGGGGUUCCAUCAAUCCAAAUAAGGAAAAGUCACAAAGGAAAGGUCUGGUCUCAAUAGUGAAGGGCAUUGUUCCCUGAGAGAUCAGUGUGUUGUCACAGGAGACAGGAAGCUCUGAACACUUCAAGACAUGCUUAGAAGGCCCCCCGAUGUCAGCAGAAAAGGGGCUGCUAAUGUCAUCUCAGAAACCAAGUUAUCCCCAUGCAACAAAAUCAAUCACGUAUCAAAACAUGAUGGAGAGACAGCCUGCAGAAGUCAGAUGGUUCCCGGAGCACUACAGGAUAAAAAGGACCUUGAAAUACAGAAGACAAAGUACAGGCUCAUGAAUGUCUGGACACACCAGCAAAUUGAGCCUGACCAACUGCACUGACAUCCUGAUGAGUCAGCUUGAAUCAAGAAGAUGGGUCCCAAAUAACUCAGGGUCACGCAGCAGAGAGAGAUGGGGAUUAGUCAAGUGUGUUCACUCUCUCACCGACUCUUCCUGAUUGAAUUCCCACACUAUGCUAGGCACUUUUUAGGGAGCUGUGUAUAUUUUCUUUGGAGGCACAGGGUUAGGCCAUUAUCUCUUCCAAGGACAGCAGUUUCUCUGUGAAUUUAUUCCUUGUCCACCAAAAACCUUCUAUUUCCUCUUUUAGCCUCCAUGGUUACCUGAAAAUAGGAAGGAAGGAAGUCUACGAUGAUGGAGCCAUAAGAUAUAUGCAUUCUUUACUGUAAAAGAUCACACAGAAAUUCUAGUUUAUAGAUUCCCCAAUGUUACCAUUCAGCCUUUGGAAGCCUGAUUCAAUUUGAAAGAGUAGAUAAAAUAUAGUUUCUAGAACUGACAAGGUGAGGAUGAGACCCAAGACCAGGGUGUGGCCACUACCAUGUGAACACUGGGAGGUCCUCCAACCUCCCCUGACAUUUCUCUUGAACUUCUCAAAGUUACCUGCUUGGACCCCAGGGGUAUGAGUUCCAAGGGCCCGAUCAGCUAUGAGAUUAUAGGCUGAACUCAGGCAUCAGAAUUGUUAGAGCUUUAUCUCAGUUCUGAGAAAUGGUUAAAACCACCCUUGGGCAGUCACACGUGGAAUCACUUAUUUCAUUACUAUGGACAUUUUCUUGUAGGAACAAUACAUAGUGAAAAUCCACUGGGAUAACCAACAUAAAACUGAUUUUGUUUUCAGUUUGAUAUAGCAAUUGCAUUUUAUUUGUUUGUUGUAAGUAUUGGUAAACUUUCUUAUUUUUUAAAAACAGACAUCUGUAAAAUUAUAUACUUUUUUCCUAUAAUAUCCUUUAAAGCUGCUUGAAAAAUGUUUAUUAUGACAAUGUAUAAAACUGGUAUACAUGGCCAAUAAUAAAUUUUUUCUCUAGGUUGAUGGUCCUUACUAAAAGCAUUUUCUCACCUCUUGAGUUUCCACUUCUCUUUCCACUGAUUGAAAUGGGUUGCAUCCAACCUGCAUUCUUGAAAUGGAGACUUCUUUAGUGAAACUCCAACACCCACUACACAUCGGUGGAGAAGGCAGAACAGCCAGGGGACAUACUGCAACCCCUCUCCUCUGGACCUCAAGUUUCUCCUCCACUGUCUAUUUGUUAUUUCUCUCCUGUCUCAGGAUGAAAGUGUCUUUUCACUCCUUCGAUGCUAACUCAUCAACUUGUACUCUUGGUCCCAAAACUCUGAUUUGGCUUGUGGCUUACAUUAGCUCCUCAACAUCUUUCCUUCAUGGCUGGAUCUCACCCUUCAGGUUUACAAACUUAGUUCACUUCCCUGCGGACUAAAAAACACAAGUCUCCAUUUUACUCUGGCUCUUCUCGGAGCAACCAUUUUACCUCCUUCCUUCCCACCACAAUUGCCCACUGACUCUGCUACACUUCUCUGUCUACCUUCUGCCCUUGCCACUUAAGAAGGUUACACACAUCCAAACCACCAAAUCCAAGAGACUUGGAUCCUUAAAUGCUGCUGAACCUCUGAGGACAUCUAACGUUGUUUCUUUCGUCUUUUUUCCUUAUGAAUCUGGUUCUUUCUUUGAAACCCCACAUUUCUCUGAUUUAUCCACCUUAUCUUCUUCCCCUUUCCUAUAGAAUAUGGCCAUGUCUGGCUCACCACUCUUGGUGGUCAUCUGCUUGAUGUUUUACUGCUCUGCCCAGUUGUCCUUCUUCCUCUCAAUGGUGGUGGCUGCCCAAUCUGCUGGACCCCUCAGUUCUAAUUGUUAGCUCAUUUCCUCAAAGAGAUGGCUUUUAAAACCUAGCCCAGGCAAACCCAAACUCAUCAUCUUGCCCACUGUGCUAGAUCUUUUCUGAUUGUUUGCCCAAUUCAAAAUGGAUUCUCCAUUCUUUGGAGAUGGACACCGAUCUAUAAGGUAGGCCCCAAGCAGCCAUUUGACCUGACUUCCUGGUCACAGGUGACUGGCACAGGGACAGCCACCUGCCUAAGACUCCUGUUUUUAAGUGAGAGAAACAAGAACUGGAUAAAGACUCAGUAGUGAAUGGUACUGCUCUGAGAGAAAGGUGCAUGGAUUCCUGGUGCUAGGGGCCCUUAGAGCUGCCCCACUUCCCAUCUUCCUGGUUAAUUCAACUCUUCCAUGGAUCUCUCAUAUAUGCUAGGAAAGUUCUAGUACAGUCUGUCUCUUAGCUAAGCUUGCUAGAGUUGGCUCCUACUUAGAAAACUUUAAGUAGUGAAUCCACUGACAUUUGUCAUCCAAGAAUCUCUCUCUCUGUCCGAAACCCCACCCAUUCCCUUCCCCAGCGAGGGCUUGAAAUUUGACUCUGAUCGAUCUUUCUGUGCAACCCACAUCCAGAACAUUCAAACCUUGUGCAUUUUAUCUCCAAAAUAAUCCUCUCCUCCAAGUCCUCUGCUACUGUCCUGGUUCCAGUCUCUGUGAUCUCUUUUCUGGGCUUGUCCAGCCUCUCCAGGCUCCAGUGAUCAUUCUGAUCGUAUCACUUUUCUGCCUAAUAUCUGAGGCUAAGUCUUGUAACUCUUACCACAGCAUUAAAAACCCUUCUCCAUCUGGCUCACAGGUGCACAGGGCUCAUCAUCUGCUAUUUCCAUUCCUAUGUGCCAGCCAGGCCUGAUCGCCGACCUUAUCCAAACAUUGUCCAUGCUUUGCAUCUUUCUUCUAUGAUUUUUGUACUGCUGAUCCCUUUGCCCGUUGGCUCUGGUAAAAUCUUUCUCCUUUAAGGUCUAUCUAAAGUCCUUUUCCUAACCCAGGGGAUAGAGAAACGUUCCCUCUAUCUUCUGGGACAGGAGU